ACUCCUACGGGAGGCAGCAGUGGGGAAUAUUGGACAAUGGGGAAACCGACUGAUCCAGCCAUGCCGCGUGUGUGAAGAAGGCCUUCGGGUUGUAAAGCACUUUCAGUGGGGAGGAAAGGUUGAUGGUUAAUACCUAUCAGCUGUGACGUUACCCACAGAAGAAGCACCGGCUAACUCCGUGCCAGCAGCCGCGGUAAUACGGAGGGUGCAAGCGUUAAUCGGAAUUACUGGGCGUAAAGCGUGCGCAGGCGGUCUGUUAAGCGAGAUGUGAAAGCCCCGGCUGC
rnacentral:rRNA from 1 species